CAAUAGCGUAUAUUUAAGUUGUUGCAGUUAAAAAGCUCGUAGUUGGAUUUCGGGUGGGACGCAGCGGUCUCGCAUUGCGUUUGUACUGCUGCAGCCCUCCUUCUUGCCGGGGGCGGCCUCUCGGACUUCACUGUCUGGGGGUCAGAAUCGGCGAUGUUACUUUGAGUAAAUUAGAGUGUUCAACGCAAGCUUACGCUCUGAAUAUAAUAGCAUGGGAUAACACGACAGGACUCUGGCCUAUCGUGUUGGUCUAUAGGACCAGAGUAAUGAUUAAGAGGGACAGUCGGGGGCAUUCGUAUUCCGUUGUCAGAGGUGAAAUUCUUGGAUUUACGGAAGACGAACAUCUGCGAAAGCAUUUGCCAAGGAUGUUUUCAUUGA
rnacentral:rRNA from 1 species